rnacentral:rRNA from 1 species
UACGGGGGGGGCAAGCGUUGUUCGGAAUUACUGGGCGUAAAGGGCUCGUAGGUGGUCAACUAAGUCAUACGUGAAAUCCCUCGGCUUAACCGGGGAACUGCGCCUGAUACUGGUUGACUUGAGUUUGGGAGAGGGACGCGGAAUUCCAGGUGUAGCGGCGAAAUGCGUAGAUAUCUGGAGGAACACCGGUGGCGAAGGCGGCGUCCUGGACCAAUACUGACACUGAGGAGCGAAAGCCAGGGGAGCAAACGGG